UACGUAGGGACCAAGCGUUGUUCGGAUUUACUGGGCGUAAAGAGCUCGUAGGCGGCUUGUCGCGUCGAUUGUGAAAGCCCGGGGCUUAACUCCGGGUCUGCAGUCGAUACGGGCAGGCUAGAGUGUGGUAGGGGAGAUUGGAAUUCCUGGUGUAGCGGUGGAAUGCGCAGAUAUCAGGAGGAACACCGAUGGCGAAGGCAGAUCUCUGGGCCGUAACUGACGCUGAGGAGCGAAAGCAUGGGGAGCGAACAGG
rnacentral:rRNA from 1 species